GUCACAGUCGCCUAAUGGAUAAGGCAUCAGCCUUCUAAGCUGACGGGUGUGGGUUCGAGUCCCACCUGUGAUA
rnacentral:tRNA from 1 species